GACGAACGCUGGCGGCGUGCUUAACACAUGCAAGUCGAGCGGUAAGGCCCUUUCGGGGGUACACGAGCGGCGAACGGGUGAGUAACACGUGGGUGACCUGCCCUCAGCUCUGGGAUAAGCCUGGGAAACCGGGUCUAAUACCGGAUAUGACUCCAUGACGCAUGUUGUGGGGUGGAAAGCCUUGUGCGGCUGAGGAUGGGCCCGCGGCCUAUCAGCUUGUUGGUGGGGUGAUGGCCUACCAAGGCGACGACGGGUAGCCGGCCUGAGAGGGCGACCGGCCACACUGGGACUGAGACACGGCCCAGACUCCUACGGGAGGCAGCAGUGGGGAAUCUUGCGCAAUGGGCGAAAAGCCUGACGCAGCGACGCCGCGUGAGGGAUGACGGCCUGU
rnacentral:rRNA from 1 species